rnacentral:sRNA from 1 species
AGUUGGAUUUCCUUGCAGCAGUAGCGGGUAGUUAUGGGAGUUUGGAAUUUGCGUGGUCUGCCAGGAUCACGAAAGUACGCAGGGACUUGAGCUCUAGCCAGGGUCUUCUCCUAAGUUCCUGGAGCUUGAUUGCGCUAGUGAGACUGUUCUGGGGUGGGGCAAUGAUGUGCGGCAUCAUACAUACCACAGAUGGUCUGUGGAGGGCAAUGCUCCUGAGGCACGACAAACCCUCCUGCGGCAUUCCUCAAGUUCAACUUUAACCAUUUAUCCUACGACUUUCUGCAGCGAGAUGGACACGAGAAUAUCACACCAGAACACUGAUCGGUCGAACUUUUUACCAGCCUGAACGCCAGUAAUCGUCGCUCUCAAGCGCUAAGGCAUCUGGCCCUGUACACACUCCACCCAACCGAGCCGGAUCGAACAGACCAAAUUGAUUGCGGACCUGGAGUUCCGGGCUUCGCCUAAGCAGCUCUGUGCAUAGUACUGUACAGUACAUGGACAUUGUAGUCGUGGCUACAAAUUGAAUGAACUCUGCACCA